CUGUCUGUGCCAGGGCGGCGCGUGGUCUACGCCGAGCGACAGAGACGCUCAGGCUGUGUUCUCAGGAUGACCGAGUGGGAGACAGCAGCACCAGCGGUGGCAGAGACCCCAGACAUCAAGCUUUUUGGGAAGUGGAGCACCGAUGAUGUGCAGAUCAAUGAUAUUUCCCUGCAGGUGAGGGGAACUUGGUGAUUGGCCUUCCUGGCUGGGGGCGGACAUUAUUCCAGGAAGGAACACAUCAAACUUGUUGCUGUGCCAUUAAGUCAAGAAUAGAGGUCAUAACAGGUAAAGAAGGGAUUCCUUGACCACCACAUCUACCACAUCUGCUCUUACGUCCUGUUCAAAGAUGACUAAAACUUCUGUCAUGAGAGGAGGACUUCACCAGAAGAAGCAUCACAUCUCACAUAUGGUAUUUUUGUUACUGUUUUUGUAGUAAAAUACAUAACAUCCAGUGUCAUUCUUUUGCAUGUGAAUAUCCGGUACCAUCUCCUAAAGAGAUGUUUUUUUUUCCCCAA
rnacentral:sRNA from 1 species